GGACGUGGCAAUGGAAUUUCUAGUUUUUCUAUUCAUCUUAGUAUUUACUCUCCGAAUGUUGUGAAUUUGACCCUGAUGGAUCUUCCUGGAUUGACGAAAGUUGCCAUUGAUGGUCAAUCUGAUAGCAUCGUUGCGGACAUUGAGAACAUGGUUCGCUUAUUAUUUAUUGAAAAGAUACACAAGCAUUUUGGAAUGGAGGAAGAUAAGAAGGGAAGAGAACAUUUUUAUUUUAUUAGAAGAUCUCGUUGCUUAUUUCUUGGAUUUCGUUAUACGUAUUUCGUGUUUUAGCUCGUUUAUUGUGUUCCAAAACAAUUGAUAAACAAAGAAUUUUUUGUAAAUGAAAUUAUUGUUUUGAUAAC